GAGCGCAUCACAGUGAACUGCAUCUGACAGCUUGCCAGGUUGGAGCAGGAGAAAAAACACCACACACAAGAGAGUAAACGACCGGUGGAACAGACCCGCUGUAAUUUUCACAAACCGAGCAUCAUCCAAAUCCACCCGGUAGAGACAAUAAAGAAAAGAAAGGAGGGAUAUUUCGCGGUUACAGUCCUCCCACAAAGCUCGCAUGUAUGGAAUGAUAAUGUUUUUGUUUUAACGCCCCAGAUGAUUGCGUACCAGGGGUAGCUAUUGAAAUACGCAAAAACCUGCCGCUUCGUUGGAUUUUCCUCCGAGACUGAGGCCAUGAAUUCCGCGGAGCAGACGGUCACUUGGCUGAUCACACUCGGGGUGCUGGAGUCUCCGAAAAAGACUAUAUCGGAUCCAGAGGCAUUUUUACAGACCUCCCUCAAAGAUGGGGUGGUCUUGUGCAGACUGCUGGAGCGGCUGAGCCCGGGCUCCAUGGACAAAAUCUACCAAGAACCGAAGAACGACGGCGAGUGCUUGAGCAACAUAAAGGAGUUUCUCAAAGGCUGCACUUCGUUUCGCGUAGAGCUGUUUGAGCCCAGUGAUCUGCUCCUAGGACUGAACUUCUCCAAGAUACUCAGCAGUCUGGUGGCUCUCAACAAAGUGACUGCAGAUAUUGGAGUGGGCAGUGACAGUGUCUGUGCCCGUCACUCGUCAGCCUAUCGGAUCAAGUCGUUUGAGUCUCUGGCCUCCCAGUCAUCACUGGGUCGAUCCUCCAAGCUGCUUCAGAACCAGUUCCGCAGCCUGGACAUGUCUGAGGGCAGCGGGACGCAGCUAUUGGUCAAGGCUCGCUUCAACUUUGAACAAACCAAUGAGGACGAGCUGUCCUUCAACAAGGGGGAUGUCAUCAAUGUGACACGCCAGGAGGAGGGCGGCUGGUGGGAGGGGAACUUCAACGGCAAGACCGGCUGGUUCCCUAGCAACUAUGUCCGUGAGAUCAAAGGCUGUGACAAACAAGUGUCCCCCAAAUCUGGGACCCUCAAGAGCCCCCCAAAAGGCGUUGACACUACGGCCAUUAGCAAGACCUACUACAACCUGGUGCUGCAGAACAUUCUAGAAACAGAGACAGAAUAUUCCAAGGACCUCCAGAGCCUUCUGACCAACUACCUGCGAUCACUCCAGAGCACAGAGAAACUGAGCAGUACAGAUGUGUACCUGAUCCUGGGGAACCUGGAGGAUAUCAACACCUUCCAGCAGAUGCUCGUCCAAUCACUGGAGGAGUGCACCAAACUUCCAGAGAGCCAGCAGAGGGUAGGGGGCUUCUUCAUGAACCUGAUGCCCCAGAUGAAGGCUCUCUACGUGGGUUACUGCUCCAAUCACCCCUCGGCAGUCAACGUGCUCACCCAGCACAGUGAGGAGCUGGGGGAGUUUAUGGAGGGGAAGGGAGCCAGUAGUCCAGGUAUCCUUACCCUGACCACAGGUCUCAGUAAACCCUUCAUGAGGCUGGACAAAUACCCUACACUAACGAAGGAACUGGAGAGACACAUGGAGGAGAGUCACCCCGACUGGCCAGACAUCCAGAAGUGUAUGACAACGUUCAAGAGCCUCUCGGCCCAGUGCCAGGAGGUGAGGAAGAGGAAGGAGCUGGAGCUGCAGAUAGUGACUGAGUCCAUCAGGCUGUGGGAGGGAGACGACAUCAGGACACUGGGCUCUGUUCUCUACAUGAGUCAGGCUCUGGUUAACAGCCCUGGAGCAGAGGAGAAGUGUGAGCGCUACCUCAUGCUUUUCCCUCAUGUCCUCCUCAUGCUGUCUGCCAGUCCAAGGAUGAGUGGCUUCAUAUUCCAGGGGAAGCUACCAUUGACUGGUAUGACUGUGACCAUGCUAGAGGACAGUGAGGCCCACAAAAACUCCUUUGAGCUUUCUGGCAGUCUAUUUGAGCGUCUCCAGGUUGUGUGUAACAAUCAGCAGGAUCAGCAGGACUGGGUAGACCACCUGACCCGUCAGACCAAACACACCACUGUCCCCAGCCACAAACCCCUCACUGUCCCCUGCCACACGUUGCCCUCCCAUCCUCUGACUCCGUCCCGUCACGCGGAGGGCCGGGCGAUGACGGUGGCUCCUGCCUACCACACCCUGCCACACCCCUCCUCCCACGGGGCUCCACACAGCACCAUGAUGUGGGGGCCCCUGGAGCCCCCCAACACCCCCAAGCCCUGGAGCCUCAGCUGCCUGCGUCCCUCACCCCCUCUCAGGCCCUCUGCAGCUCUCUCCUACAAGGAGGACCUCAGUAAAAGCCCUAAGAGUGUGAAGAAGCUUCUUCCUAAACGUAAACCAGAGCGAAAACAGUCAGACGAGGAGUUUGCCCUGAGGAAGAGUACAGCUGCUCUAGAGGAAGAUGCUCAGAUCCUAAAGGUGAUAGAAGCUUACUGUACCAGCGCCAAGACCAGACAGACCCUCAACUCCAGGACGAUGCGGAGGGACACAGGGCUGCAAGUCAUCAUCCCUGGAGAGGAGAAGAUCAUUGUGGAGGAGACCACGAGCAACGGACAGACUGUAGUCGGGGAGAAGAGCCUUGAGGAUGUAGUGUACGCCCUGAGGGACGAGGUACAGGAGCUCAAACAGGACAAUAAGAAGAUGAAGAGGUCACUGGAGGAGGAGCAGAGGGCACGGAAAGAUCUGGAGAAAGUGGUCAGGAGGGUCUUAAAGACUAUGAACGACCCCACCUGGGACGAGACUAACUUAUGAGGCCAAUAUACACACACCAAAUAGAAGAAAGCAAAGAAACGGAAGGAUAAAUUGAUGGAUGGAAGGAUAAGCGAAAGACACUAUCCUUCCCUUUAAAGAAUAUCAGGUGGAAUUAAAUCUGACAAAGACUCUUUGAUUGAAAUGGGAGUGAAGCAAUGGGAGCGGAGCAUCCAAAUUCUCCAGAGAGGGGAAGUCUUUUUGAAAGUGUUGUGCAGCUGAAAGACAUAGAGCGACACCCGGGACUUUACCUUUCAUUACUGGAGGAGAGGAGAGGAGAGGAACAUAUUGCGGUCCAGAAUAAAGAGUCUCUAAGGGUUCUUUCUACCUUGGUAUGAUAACAGGAUCAGUGGCUGGCUGGGAGCAUUGGGAUGGAGCCAACGGAGGGAUGAUGUGAGAGGAGUCUCUCUCUCUCCAGAUCACAAUCCCCCCUCCCUCCUCCCCUUCCAUGCCUGCACCUGAUGGAGGGAGGAUUAAGAGAGAGAGAGAGAGAGAGAGAGAGCAUUAGCAAAGAUUGAAGCUGAUCUUUACAUUGUCCACUGGCUCUGGUUUAGUAGAGAUGACUGCUUCUCUCUCUCUCUCUCUCUCUCUGUCUGUUUUCUCCCUCUCUCUCUCUCUCUCUCUCUCUCUCUCUCUCUCUCGCUCUGUUUUCUCCCUCUCUCUUCCCAGUGUCUUUUCAGCACAGAGAGAGGGAGAGGGAAGAUUGUUGGGAGGGGAAGAGGGAGAUGAGUUCAGCCAUAGAUUCCAUGACCAUUGUAUGUCAAUCAUGGUGUGUGUGUGUGUGUACAGCUAUAGCCCCCUCUCUUUUCCCAUCCCCUGGUGAUUAGCUGUCAGUGGUGGCCUCUUGCUGAGAGAGCGACAGAGAGAGAGAGAUGCAGUAAGGCCUUGGGAAGGGGGGAGAGCGAGAGGGAGUGUGAAAGAAAAAGAGAGAUAUAGAGACAGAUACUGACAGAAUGAGAUGUGGGAGUGUAGAGCCUGAGGCUGCAGAUGAACAGGAAACAGAAGAGAACCAAACAGAGAAAGUGACGGAGUGUUAAAACCUCUUUAGAUCUCUAUAAGAGGUUCUACUGUUGGUGAAAUAUAGGAACCAUGGUCCUCUCUAGCUGUAAUGUAGUUUACGGAGCAGGGAUGCGCUUUGAGCAUGUGGUCUCCUCUCCAGCUCCCAUCAACCCCCAGGAGAAGAUGAAGGGAGCUUUGAGUCUCUCAGGCGGAAGGUGCUAGAGACAGAAUAUUCAAAGGGCCUCCAGAGCCUUCAGACCAACUACUCUCCAGAGCCUUCAGACCAACUACUCUCCAGAGCCUUCAAACCAACUACUCUCCAGAGCCUUCAGACCAACUACUCUCCAGAGCCUUCAGACCAACUACUCUUCAGAGCCUUCAGACCAACUACUCUCCAGAGCCUUCAGACCAACUACUCUCCAGAGCCUUCAGACCAACUACUCUCCAGAGCCUUCAAACCAACUACUCUUCAGAGCCUUCAGACCAACUACUCUCCAGAGCCUUCAGACCAACUACUCUCCAGAGCCUUCAGACCAACUACUCUCCAGAGCCUUCAGACCAACUACUCUUCAGAGCCUUCAGACCAACUACUCUCCAGAGCCUUCAGACCAACUACUCUCCAGAGCCUUCAGACCAACUACUCUCCAGAGCCUUCAGACUAACUACUCUUCAGAGCCUUCAGACCAACUACUCUUCAGAGCCUUCAGACCAACUACUCUCCAGAGCCUUCAGACCAACUAGCUCCUGAAUCGCUAGCUAGACAUGUAACCCUUUGGGAGAGAAACAAAGGGGCAAAGGCAUAUACGGUUUGUCAUUGCACUCAUUUCUUUAUUUUUUAACAUUUAUAUACUCUACUCUUGUAUAUGAAACCGUGAGAGAAGCACUGAUGGUCGCAGAACUAUUUUUUUUCGGGCGAUCUUGUUGUUUUUGUGAUGGUUUUCAGACCAACUACUCUCCACAGCCUUCAGACCAACUACUCUCCAGAGCCUUCAGACCAACUAUUCUCCAGAGCUUUCAGACCAACUACCCUCCAGAGCCUUCAGACCAAGUACUCUCCAGAGUCUUCAGACUAACUACUCUCCAGAGCCUUCAGACCAACUACUCUUCAGAGCCUUCAGACCUACUCUCCAGAGCCUUCAGACCAACUACUCUCCAGAGCCUUCAGACCAACUACUCUCCAGAGCCUUCAGACCAACUACUCUACAGAGCCUUCAGACCAACUACUCUCCAGAGCCUUCAGACCAACUACUCUCCAGAGCCUUCAGACCAACUACUCCUCAGAGUCUUCAGACCAACUACUCUCCAGAGCCUUCAGACCAACUACUCUCCAGAGCCUUCAGACCAACUACUCUCCAGAGCCUUCAGACCAACUACUCCUCAGAGCCUUCAGACCAACUACUCUCCAGAGCCUUCAGACCAACUACUCUCCAGAGCCUUCAGACCAACUACUCUCCAGAGCCUUCAGACCAACUACUCUCCAGAGCCUUCAGACCAACUACUCUUCAGAGCCUUCAGACCAACUACUCUCCAGAGCCUUCAGACCAACUACUCUCCAGAGCCUUCAGACCAACUACUCUCCAGAGCCUUCAGACCAACUACUCUUCAGAGCCUUCAGACCAACUACUCUCCAGAGCCUUCAGACCAACUACUCUCCAGAGCCUUCAGACCAACUACUCUCCAGAGCCUUCAGACCAAGUACUCUCCAGAGCCUUCAGACCAACUACUCUCCAGAGCCUUCAGACUAACUACUCUUCAGAGCCUUCAGACCAACUACUCUUCAGAGCCUUCAGACCAACUACUCUCCAGAGCCUUCAGACCAACUAGCUCCUGAAUCGCUAGCUAGACAUGUAACCCUUUGGGAGAGAAACAAAGGGGCAAAGGCAUAUACGGUUUGUCAUUGCACUCAUUUCUUUAUUUUUUAUUUUUUUACAUUUAUAUACUCUACUCUUGUAUAUGAAACCGUGAGAGAAGCACUGAUGGUCACAGAACUAUUUUUUUUGGGGCGAUCUUGUUGUUUUUGUGAUGGUUUUCAGACCAACUACUCUCCACAGCCUUCAGACCAACUACUCUCCAGAGCCUUCAGACCAACUAUUCUCCAGAGCUUUCAGACCAACUACCCUCCAGAGCCUUCAGACCAAGUACUCUCCAGAGCCUUCAGACCAACUACUCUCCAGAGUCUUCAGACUAACUACUCUCCAGAGCCUUCAGACCAACUACUCUUCAGAGCCUUCAGACCUACUCUCCAGAGCCUUCAGAGCAACUACUCUCCAGAGCCUUCAGACCAACUACUCUACAGAGCCUUCAGACCAACUACUCUACAGAGCCUUCAGACCAACUACUCUCCAGAGCCUUCAGACCAACUACUCUCCAGAGCCUUCAGACCAACUACUCCUCAGAGCCUUCAGACCAACUACUCUCCAGAGCCUUCAGACCAACUACUCUCCAGAGCCUUCAGACCAACUACUCUCCAGAGCCUUCAGACCAACUACUCUCCGGAGCCUUCAGACCAACUACUCUCCGGAGCCUUCAGACCAACUACUCCUCAGAGCCUUCAGACCAACUACUCUCCAGAGCCUUCAGACUAACUACUCUCCAGAGCCUUCAGACCAACUACUCUCCAGAGCCUUCAGACCAACUACUCUCCGGAGCCUUCAGACCAACUACUCCUCAGAGCCUUCAGACCAACUACUCUCCAGAGCCUUCAGACCAACUACCCCUCAGAGCCUUCAGACCAACUACUCUCCAGAGCCUUCAGACCAACUACUCUCCAGAGCCUUCAGACCAACUACUCUCCAGAGCCUUCAGACCAACUACUCUCCGGAGCCUUCAGACUAACUACUCUACAGAGCCUUCAGACCAACUACUCUCCAGAGCCUUCAGACCAACUACUCUCCGGAGCCUUCAGACUAACUACUCUACAGAGCCUUCAGACCAACUACUCUCCAGAGCCUUCAGACCAACUACUCUCCGGAGCCUUCAGACUAACUACUCUACAGAGCCUUCAGACCAACUACUCUCCGGAGCCUUCAGACUAACUACUCUACAGAGCACAGAGAAGUAACCUCCACUGGUGGAAAUAUACUUUAUUCACUAUGUAACCCUUCACUAUGGCUGUCUGUCUGUUUGAUGACAUAUAGCAUAUUAUCCAGGGCCACUGGUUGGAUUUACUGUACUCACUCCAAAACACAUGCAACCUUCUCCCUGUAAAAGUCUCCCAGACUUGUAUAAAAAGGAACGUGUCCAUCCCUCUGUUCCCAGCUGAUUCUGCUGGGCCAUGGAACUCUAGAGCAGCACAUCAAAAAACCUGCCACCCUGUUGCCAGCUAUCGACGGUUCCCCGAGGAAAGAUGCAACUGUCAAGGCUUUAAAUGGUCAAAUUUGGGGGAUGACCACCAAAUUCAAUAAAGUUUUGCAGAAACUACAAUAA